UUUUUCACAAAAAUCCUUCAUUAGAUUGUUUUAUAGCUGCUGCUGAUUUCAGGCCAAUGCAACUGCUUUGGUAAAGAGAUGAUCCUAACUAGCCAAAUAUCUACAACAUUCUAGUUUUUACUGAGAAAAAUAAUGAGCUUGUUUAUAAAAUAUAUUUUACUAUUUAUAAUAAAAACCCUACAAAAUCUGAAAAUACUGUAAGUAAACAGUGGAAAAUUAUGAUUUAAAUUCUAGUACUCUGCUGGUUGCUGAGGUGGAGAAACAACACUCUAUUGUGUUCCUAACUGUUAUAAACAUUUCUUAUCCACUUGUGCUAACAGCACUUGAAUUUAUGUGUUCAGACUGUUGUAGGGUACUUAUCCAGAACAUUUCUCAAGACGUCCUGUAUUCCACAUUGACGCCAUAUGACCAACAGUGAAUUAUUCUGUUUCACUGCUCUGUUGCAGGUUUGGAUGGUUGGAUGUGUUCAGAACCAAGCAGAUGUUGUUUUGACCUCGAGGUCUCUUUUAGUUACUUAGUGGAGAGAAGGUAGCUCCAAAGAGUUUUAGAAACGUAUGAAUUUGGAGAAAGGACUAAUGUGAGAAAGUCAGAUUUAUUUUUCUGGAGAUGGUCAGAGAGCAAGGAAGGCUUCCGAAAACGGUUGCUCGAGCUCCAGAUGAGGUGAAUGACGUAAGGUAGGAGUUCAGGAUCAAAGUUCCCUGCUACAAUGGAAGCAAGAAGGCAAACAAAUACACCCUCAUCAAUCAAGGAAUCACUGCACACCCCCACUACCCAGAGGGGCCUGCAGAGCGGUGGCUGUGCAACGACUGUCUCCAACUGCACUGGCAUGUGUCCCCCUGUGUGCAUUCAGUGUGUAUGCGUGUAUAUCCCACUUCUAAACCGUGGCUCAGCAAAGGGGUUACAGCUGCAUGCGCACAUGCUUCUGCAAGUUUGUUCACAUGAAAGUCGUGCCGGGUAGGCUCGACAUUAAAAACCUGAGCAUGAACCACACCACUCGACAGCCUUUCCGCCGCUCCAAAGGUCAGAUUAUAUCCGACUAUUAGUGGCUUGUAUAAUGGAUCUCGUUAGAUCUUAUUGCAGAACAAAGUUUUGAGCUCUCCAGAAAUCUCUAAGUUUGGAAGUUUAUUUUUUGCUAAUAUAAAAUUGAACAUUUAAAAUGUUUUCCUAUGUUCAAAGAGGUAUUAUUAUGUGGAGCUAAGCAAAAAGGAACGAACUGGAUAUAUGGAAUACCACAGAGUGGCAUGUUUUUUUUCUUGUAUCUGCAGUAAAAUCACUACAUUAUGUUUGUGGGCGGCUGUGGGGCUGAAUCAAAAUAAAAGUAAAU
rnacentral:lncRNA from 1 species